GUCCUCCAUGCACUGCCGCUCGCUGUGGUCUGGCUCAGAGUCAGCAUCAGGUUCUGAUCCGCUGCCAUCGGAGGAUGAAGUUUCAACUGGAUUUUGCGGUGGAUCGCAUGACUGCGAAGGGUAGUGUUCCGCACGAUGUGGCUCGGUAUACUGAUCUGAGCCUGCAGGGGCCGACCAGUGUGCUUCGUCUGCCUGAGCAUCGCUUCCGUCUGAGCUGUCUUCCUCACUCAUCGCGACUGGCGCAAAAGCCGUGCCAAAUGACCGCUUCUGGAAUCUGUGUUUAGAACGAGGGGGAACUUCGACGGAUGAGUCCCAUAGGCUGGUGGCCCAGGAGGGCGCCAUAAAGAAGUUGAGAGGGAGUACGCAGCCCGUGUACUGGAAGGAAGGGGAAGCAGCGGCCCCGGCAAUCCUUCUGAACUGCGGGAGCCCGAAAGCCCUCGAAAAGAAGCGUUCGCGGCUUGUCGCCAACGCAGGGGCCCUAACUGCAACGACAGAAGGGGACGAACAUAAAGCCCACAAUGCAGCUUGCGGCACUUGUGGCGACAGAGUGCGCCAGCUGGAGGCGGAAAAUGAAGCCCUACGGGCAGAAGUCGAAAGCCUCAAGAGGCUUCAAGAAGGGCAUGACUAUGUGACUGAAGCUGGCAAGAUGGUCAAACGUCUAUAAAGGAUGAUGCAAAAAGCAGAAAACAAGCCGGAGGAACCGGUAAUUGCUUGCACAAAGGUGGACAUUGGCAGUGGCACACUGGUCGACGAGUCGAUCAUAAACCAAUUGUGCCGAGCCUGUGACAGUGGCCCUGGCAAAUUUGCCAGGGCACUGUUGCGCCACGUUUUCUCCGAGGAGGAGUUGCGGGGCAAGUCCCUCUUCGGAGGGAAAAGCUGCGUUCGGGGCGAGACCCGACAGAAGGAGGCCCUUGAUCCCGUACGUGUGGAGGCUGUGAUAGGAUACACCUGCACAAAAUUUCCAGGGGUCAGUGUGCCAUAUUUGAAGAACAGUCUGUCCUCCCUUCUCUCCCGUGAAAUAAAAUGAGUAAGAUGC